rnacentral:lncRNA from 1 species
AACUUCAGAGUCAAAUAUCUGGCCACGUACUUGCCAUUUCUUCUUAAAUAUCUAAUAGGAACCCUAAACUUAAUAUGUCUUAUUACAGCCUACUGUCAACUUGCUUCUUCCUAAAUUUUCUCCAUUUCAUUAAAAGACACCAUUAUCCACCUAAGUGCUCAGGAGUCAUCCUAGGAGUCAUCCCUAGGAGUCAUCCUAGAGUUGUUCCUUCAGUCACUACAUCUAAUCCUUUAGCAGAUACUGUUGACUUUACCUUUACAUUUGAAUCUGUCCACUUCUCUUCCUUCCUCCUGUUCCUACCGUAGUACAAGCUACCACCAACUUUCUUCUGGACUAUUGCAAUGGCCUCAUCAUUGGUUUCCGUGUUUCUCCCAUUGAUCCCUGCUACAAUACAUUCUCCCACAUAAAAGUCAUGAUGUUAAAAGCUUUCAGGAUAUCCUUCUAGAUAUUUUCCAUGUAUGUAGAGCCCUUCCUUUUAAAAAGCACACAUAUACACACAUAUAUAUAAACAUAAAUGGGAUUGUACUGC